UACGUAGGGUGCAAGCGUUAAUCGGAAUUACUGGGCGUAAAGCGUGCGCAGGCGGCUAUGCAAGACAGAUGUGAAAUCCCCGGGCUUAACCUGGGAAUGGCAUUGGUGACUGCACGGCUAGAGUGUGUCAGGAGGGGGUAGAAUUCCACGUGUAGCAGUGAAAUGCGUAGAGAUGUGGAGGAAUACCGAUGGCGAAGGCAGCCCCCUGGGAUAACACUGACGCUCAUGCACGAAAGCGUGGGGAGCAAACAGG
rnacentral:rRNA from 1 species